AUUGCACGCUGGCGGCAGGCUUAACACAUGCAAGUCGAGCGAGCGGCGGACGGGUGAGUAACUUCUGGGUAUCUGCCUGAUGGAGGGGGAUAACCACUGGAAACGGUAGUUAAUACCGCAUACCAUCAGAUGUGCCAAGCUGGGAUUAGCUAGUGGGUGGGGUAAUGGUUCACCUAGGCGACGAUCCCUAGCUGGUCUGAGAGGAUGUCCAGACACACGGGAACGGAGACACGGUCCAGACUCCGACGGGAAGAAGCAGUGGGGAAUAUUGCACAAUGGGCGCAGUCCGGAAAAAGCCAUGACGCGUGUGUGAAGAAGGCCUUCGGGUUGUAAAGCACGUUCAGGGAGGAGGCGUUACUCGCAGAAGAAGCACCGGCUAACUCCGUGCCAGCAGCCGCGGUAAUUC
rnacentral:rRNA from 1 species